rnacentral:rRNA from 1 species
GUAGUAUACCUAAGAGUGGGUGUGUAGCAAUUAGUUUUACCAGAGGACGGUUGGCGAGAGUUUAUCACUCUUGUUUGCCUACUUUUGGUAGACUUUAGUCGGGCUGGACCUUUGGUCCUCGUCUGACAGUUGCUACGUGCUUACUUACCACGGUUCAUCCGUGAGGCCCUUGGCUUGCAACUGUAAAUAAAUCGUUGUGCUUAAAGCGGGCUAUGAUACUCUGCCAGAGCGAUUUAGCAUGGGACUGCAGAGUAGCUGUAUUUGGAUGAAGGUUGUGUUUCGGCAUGGCUGGAGUCUGGUACAGCGCUUGUAAUGGAGCUCAGGGUGAGGCCCCGGGUACCAUGAGGCUAGAGGUGAAAUUCUGAGACCCUCAUGUGACCAACUAAGGCGAAAGCUGUCGUGGGCCACCACAAGCUCGUCUAUCAGGGACGAAAGUUGGGGGAUCGAAGACGAUUAGAUACCGUCGUAGUCCCAACUAUAAACGAUACCAACCGAGUAUUUGGGAAGACACUAUCCCAGCGAUCUUCUCAGAACUCAAGGGAAACCUUAAGUCUUUGGGUUCUGGGGGGAGUAUAGUCGCAAGACCGAAACUUAAAGGAAUUGACGGAAAGGCACCACCAGGAGUGGAGUCUGCGGCUUAAUUCGACUCAACACGGGGAAACUCACCAGGUCAGGACACAAGUUUGAUUGACA